rnacentral:rRNA from 1 species
GAUGAACGCUGGCGGCGUGCCUAACACAUGCAGGUCGAGCGAUCUUCUUCGGAAGAGAGCGGCGGACGGGUGAGUAACGCGUGGGUAACCUGCCCUGUACACACGGAUAACAUACCGAAAGGUAUGCUAAUACGAGAUAAUAUGCUUUUAUCGCAUGGUAGAGGUAUCAAAGCUCCGGCGGUACAGGAUGGACCCGCGUCUGAUUAGCUAGUUGGUAAGGUAACGGCUUACCAAGGCGACGAUCAGUAGCCGACCUGAGAGGGUGAUCGGCCACAUUGGAACUGAGACACGGUCCAAACUCCUACGGGAGGCAGCAGUGGGGAAUAUUGCACAAUGGGCGAAAGCCUGAUGCAGCAACGCCGCGUGAGCGAUGAAGGCCUUCGGGUCGUAAAGCUCUGUCCUCAAGGAAGAUAAUGACGGUACUUGAGGAGGAAGCCCCGGCUAACUACGUGCCAGCAGCCGCCGCCG